UACGUAGGGUGCAAGCGUUAAUCGGAAUUACGUGGCGUAAAGCGUGCGCAGGCGGUUAUAUAAGACAGAUUGUGAAAGUCCCCGGGCUCAACCUGGGAACCUGGCAUCUGUGACUGUAUAGCUAGAGUACGGUAGAGGGGGAUGGAAUUCCGCGUGUAGCAGUGAAAUGCGUAGAUAUGCGGAGGAACACCGAUGGCGAAGGCAAUCCCCUGGACCUGUACUGACGCUCAUGCACGAAAGGCGUGGGGAGCAAACAGG
rnacentral:rRNA from 1 species